rnacentral:rRNA from 1 species
UACGUAGGGGGCAAGCGUUGUCCGGAAUCGUUGGGCGUAAAGAGCGUGUAGGCGGCCCGGUAAGUCCGCUGUGAAAGUCCAGGGCUCAACCCUGGGAUGCCGGUGGAUACUGUCGGGCUCGAGUCCGGAAGAGGAGUGUGGAAUUCCUGGUGUAGCGGUGAAAUGCGCAGAUAUCAGGAGGAACACCAAUGGCGAAGGCAGCACUCUGGGACGUGACUGACGCUGAGACGCGAAAGCGUGGGGAGCAAACGGG